UUUGCUUUUGAACUUUUGAACGGUGAAGAUGUGGUAAAUUUGUUGUCGCGAGAGCCUGUGCGAAAUAAUAUACGUAAAUGUAUACAAAACUUAACACACAAUAAAUAAAUUGUUAUAGACUCUGCAAUUUGCAAUUUGUUGUUGAUAAAACGUCGAGUUGUUACAACGCUUUCUAUUGCGAUUUCGGAUCGAGUUCAAAAUAGUGUCGACGAAUUGAAUAUGCAUUAAAAUACAAGUAAUUAUUCACUAAUAAUAAUUUGAUUUAGUUUGAAUUUAGUUUUCGAAUGGUAGAGUUGUAUAAAUUUUUUAUCGCAUAACUGUAGAUUAGGGGCUUGAACGAGAUGGUUCGCUUUUAGUCUUCAAAACGGAAAAAACAAAACACACACAAAAAAAAAAAAAUAAAAAUUUUAAAUAAAAAAAGUUCAAAAUGAAAAAUAAAACAUAAAAAAUUAUAAAUUAAAUCUUUUAUUUUUUUCGCUUCAAUGCCUAUCAACGAAAUUUAUAACGUGUAACACCAGUCGCGAAAUAUGAAACAAAAGUAAUAAUAAAAGCAAACGCAAACGCAAAACGAAGAAUUGGCCAAAUAAGAAUCAGUAAACGGCUUUAGUUUGAUUUUUAAUUUUAUUUUGCAAAGAAAAAAAAAAAAAAACAAAAAAAAAAAAAACCCCAAAAAAAAGUUAAAAGUUAUUGCUAACCAGUCAAGUGUGAAGUGCAGAAAUGCAAAUUGAAAAUUUAUUUAAAGGCGACACACGAGAUAUGAGAUGAAAAGAAGGUAGAAAGGUAGACGAGGCUUGAAACGUUAAAAAGAAUAGAAGCGUAGAAGAAUAGAAGAAUAGAAAGAAGCACGCACAUCAAACUAUAUAUGUACACAUAAAAGUUUAAUCAGUUAUCGAUAUGUACAUAACGCGUAACAUAUAAAAAUCCGUGAAGCAAGCAAAUCGAGUUAAUUUGGCAUUAAAAAGCGAAAGCUUUCAGUGAAAUUUCCUCAAAAAACGCUAUCUCCCCUCAGCGGAGUCUAACGUAAGAUUAAUUGCGGGAAUAUUUCAAAGUAAAUGCGAUGAAAACAAUGAUUUAAUUAAAACAACAAAACAAAAAAAAAAAUAAAAAAUAAAAAAUAUGUUUUAAUUAAAAUGCAGGAAAAACUUUCCAUCAACUGAGAUGAACCCAUAAAACUAUGCCAAUGGAUUUAUUGCCACAACAUUCAUAAUUUAAUUUACCCAAACAUUACUAAUGAUUUCAUAAAAUGAUAGCCAAUGAACUGAACACAGAUUGAAAAUAAUUGAGAAAAGCUUGCUCUAAAACCAAAUUAUAAAAUAAAAUUUAAAGGAAGAUUUUUUAAACUCUACACCCGUAAUGAUUGUUAUUAAAUAAUUAAGCAAAUAAAUAAUAAGGAUAAAAAAAAAAAAAAA